GCGUAUAUUAAAGUUGCUGCGUUUAAAAAGCUCGUAGUUGUAUCUCAGUUCAUGUCAAAAGGUCAAGCACUUAUUAGUGAUUACUUUUUGACUGAACAUUAAACCGAUUUGUUUACUGAUGCUCUUUACCGAGUGUUAUUAAGAAAUCGGAAUAUUUACUUUGAAAAAAUUAGAGUGCUCAAAGCAGGCAUUUUUCGCCUAAAUAUUCUUGCAUGGAAUAAUGGAAUAAGAUCUAGGUUCUAUUCUGUUGGUCUUUUGAACCUCAGUUAAUGAUUAAAAGGGACAGACGGGGGCAUUCGUAUUGCGGCGCUAGAGGUGAAAUUCUUGGACCGUCGCAAGACGAACUAC
rnacentral:rRNA from 1 species